CUUCACUCUCGUUCUACCUGAGCUGGCUGAGUGGUCUUGUCGCCUCUGUCAAGUUUGGAGCUUUUCAAAAACUUCGCCCUGAAGUUACUGGGACUUUUCACAUUACCACAAAAAAAGCAAUUGUCUUUUUAAAGACUUCCUCCAUCUCCACCUUCCCUUGUGCUACGGCAGUCUUUGCCAAAGAAAUACUGCAUCUCAAGAUUCCCAUCUCCCAUCCUGUCUUCCCUUGCUGUGCUGCAGACUUUUCAGGCUUGUUCCAGACCAGCCCUGUCCGAGUGGUGUCUGCGUGUCACUUGUGACGCUGCCUGUCAUCGUCUGCACACCCUGCACUACACUGCACUGCACUCAUAUACAACAGAACCCACUAACGCCUACCUGCAAACAUAUCUACGACAAGAACCAAACACUUGCUGAGAACAUAUCUGACUGCACAUACUGUACUCUGAACCCUUUUGAUUGAAACCGCCUUUGAGAUUGAAACCGCCUUUGAGAUUGAAACCGCCUUUGAAACUGAAUCCUUUUCUGAAUACUACUCUGCAUCAUAUUGAGACUCUGAAUAUCACUCUGAACCAGCAAACCCACUCUAAACAUACCUGCAGACAUAUUUCUGACAAGAAUUGACCACUUUCUGAUCACGCAUACCUUGCUACUAUAUAUUUCAAUAAUACCUGUCAAAGUUGUCUUUGCUGUUAUACCUACUUUUAGACCUGGGCUGUGCUGCAAGACUGAAUCUGAGCUGUGUGAGGACUUCGAGAUUCCAUCCUAGUUCUGCAUAAAACUGAUCAUCUCAAGA